UGCCCCUUCUCUUACAGUAGUCAAACAGCUAUGGAGGCCCCAAAGAACUCGGUAGGCCCCACUUCUUCCAAUCCUCUCCUCUCGUUCUCUGCUUUCCUCCACCAACACACCCUCCGGCUCGGUGCCGAACUUGCGAGUCGACUCGAAGAUACGAAACGACUCACCUCUAAACUCGCCGCCAAUUUUCCGUCCUUUCUACCACCGCCGCCGGCACUACUACUGCCAGCUCAUUCUUCUUCUUCUCCUCUACUUCUGCCUUUCGCUUCUGCUUCGCAAUCUCAGCAGCCGCCGCGCCAUGCUGCUGCCGUCGCCGCCUCCUCUGAAACUCUAAGCUCCGACCACGUCGCCAAAACCCUAGCCGGUACUUCUGUUUACACCGUCAGCAAUUCGAACAAUGAGUUCGUACUAAUCUCUGAUCCUGAUGGUGCGAAAUCUAUCGGCUUACUUUGCUUUCGCCGUGAAGAUGCCGAAGCAUUUCUAGCUCAGGUAAGGUCAAGGAGGGGAGCAGUGAGAGGUGGAACAAAGGUCGUUCCAAUCGCACUUGAACAGGUGUACAUGUUGAAGGUUGAAGGCAUUGCCUUCCGGUUUUUGCCUGAUCCUGUCCAAAUUAAAAAUGCAUUGGAGCUAAAAGCCUCGGAUGUCAUGAGCGGAUUUGAUGGGGUUCCUGUUUUUCAGUCUGACCUCCUUGUGGUGAAGAGGAAAAAUAAGCGCUACUUACCCAUAUACUUUCGAAAGGAAGACCUUGAGAAGGAAUUGUUAAUGGUGGCUUCAAGAAGAGGCCCUGCUGUUUCUCAACACAUUUUGGUCGGGAAUCUGGAAAAUGUUUUGAGGAAAAUGGAGAUGAGUGAAAGGAAUUCUGGUUGGGAAGAUCUAAUUUUUAUUCCUCCAGGGAAAAGCCACUCACAACACAUCCAGGAAGUUACAAAAUCAUGAAUCUUGGAGACAAACUUCUUAAAAGGGUAGGAUCUUGCAUAGGAAAAUACACGGCAUAUUUCUAAAUUUACAUCAAAGCUGGCCAGCGGCAGAGAUUGAUGACUCAGUUUAUGUUGCAGCGUUGCUGGAAGAUUUUGGGGAAGAGAUUUAUCCCUCAUGAGAUUAUAUAAAGUUUUAGGCAGCUUGCUGGAAUGCAAACUUUCAUCCACCUUUUUGUUAUUUUGUCCCGAGUCCUUUCAAGUGGAUGGAGCUACCCUGUGGUUAUCUGCUUCAACAGAAUUGUAUUUAAACAUGCUGCUUAAAACUGCUUCAGCUUCAUUCUUCUGAUGACUCUGAAGUGUUACAAAUUUUUAAGACCGCUGUGAUUGGUGACUUUAUUGGGUAUCAUAUAUGGUGUGUGCGUCGCUUCGUUAGAA